CAAUCACGUAGUAAGGGGGUCCACGUGGUUUGGAGACAUUUUCUUCCUCUCCAAGCUAAGCACUCAAUUUUUCCAGGAUAUAACCCCACACAGAGAAUAAAAUGAAGGGGGAAACAAUUAGAAGAGCAGCAACGAGUGGGGAACGGGAAUUGAACAAAAAACCAGAGGGGAUAGAGAAGAGUCAAACUGAGAGGAAUAGAGUGAGAGGGGUGACGGAAGAAACUCUAACAGGGCACUAGACACCAAGGAAGUUAGCACUCAAAUUUUUAGUUUCUUUUCUCUUAAUCUCGUCGAGCUUCACAGUAAUUUAGCUACCCUUCUUCAUCAACGGACAUCCACAUAACUCCUCUCCAUUGUUUCCAAAUAUCUCACUACCAUGUGAACUAGGAAUACCUUCCUCCGAUUUUGCUUCACCAAAAUAAAACUACAUCACCACCUUGAAUCCUAUAUUAUUAUCUCGAAUUUUCUCUGAUUGGUAAAAAGUUUCUGUCAGUUGAGCAAAAUUUUUGAAGUUGAGAUUUGGGGUGCUCAGAUCUGAGAGACAAAGAGGUCUCGGGACAGUCCGUUUUGGUGCUCGAGUUUUUUCGGUUCCGACUCCUGUUCGUACCACUAUUGCUGUAAUUGCUCGAGGCAAAUGAAAAGGACUAUGUAUCACCUACCAUUAUGGUUUGAAGAUGAAGAGUAAGUGCCAAGAGAAUUGAGAGAAUGAACCCAUAAGAUAUUGGAUGCUGAUGUUGAUGGGAUCGACGUGAGCGGGAUUUGGAGACGUACAUGUGUUUCAGUCGUAGCUGCCUCUUAUUCAUGGUAGCCUUAGAGUUAUAAAAAUCUGUUUAUGUACAUUUCGAACAUAUGGUG